rnacentral:misc_RNA from 1 species
AAGUCGUAACAAGGUAAUCGUAGGUGAACCUGCGGUUGGAUCAUUAAAAAAUGGUAUAGUUUGCAGUAUAGUUUUAGUAACAUUCGUUACCAUCGAGACGGUUUAUUCCUGUCUCCUAUACUGCAAAUUUUUCCUCCAACCCUUUGUGCACACUUUAUUGUAUUUUGGGCAAGACUCUGUUUUGCCCAGCGGAUUAUUAACACCUCUUUAAUUUUGCCUGAAAUUAUUUUAUAAAUAAUAACAACUUUUGACAACGGAUCUCUUGGCUCUC